rnacentral:rRNA from 1 species
GAUGAACGCUGGCGGCGUGCCUAAUACAUGCAAGUCGAGCGAAUGGAUUAAGAGCUUGCUCUUAUGAAGUUAGCGGCGGACGGGUGAGUAACACGUGGGUAACCUGCCCAUAAGACUGGGAUAACUCCGGGAAGCCGGGGCUAAUACCGGAUAAUAUUUUGAACUGCAUGGUUCAAAAUUGAAAGGCGGCUUCGGCUGUCACUUAUGGAUGGACCCGCGUCGCAUGAGCUAGUUGGUGAGGUAACGGCUCACCAAGGCAACGAUGCGUAGCCGACCUGAGGGGGUGAUCGGCCACACUGGGACUGAGACACGGCCCCGACUCCUACGGGAGGCAGCAGUAGGGAAUCUUCCGCAAUGGACGAAAGUCUGACGGAGCAACGCCGCGUGAGUGAUGAAGGCUUUCGGGUCGUAAAACUCUGUUGUUAGGGAAGAACAAGUGUUAGUUGAAUAAGCUGGCACCUUGACGGUACCUAACCAGAAAGCCACGGCUAACUACGUGCCAGCAGCCGCCGUAA